ensembl:snRNA U6 U6 spliceosomal RNA
AAGCUCACUUCGGCAACAUAUAUAUUAAAACUGCAACAGAGCUAAGCAUGGCCUCUGUGCAAGGAUGACACGUAAACUUGUGAAGCGUUCCACAUUUUU